UUUCAAAUAUGGCGGCGAAUUUAAGUCCUUGACAUUUUUCAUUCGGGAAUCUUAUCUCCCGAAGUGUCUUGUUCACCAUGGAGGAAGAAACACCAAGCCUGGAUCAAAUAGUUAGUCAUACUGAACAGGCUUUGUACACCCUGUACAGUGAUCCAAACCUCGUGAACAAGGAGUCAGCUCACAAAUGGCUUUUGGAAAUACAGAAGUUACCACAAGCUUGGCAAGUAUGCUGGAAAUUGAUGCAAAAUGAUAAGGCCCCAGAAGUCCAAUUUUUUGGAGCAUCUUUACUACACUACAAAAUAACCAAAUAUUGGUCUGAGCUCCCGGAAAAUCAAUAUGAACAAUUAAAGUCAGAAGUAAUUCGUUAUGUUAUCACAUUUUGUAAUGGAACCAGGAUUGUACUAACAAGAUUAUGCAUUGCGCUAGCUGCAUUUGCCAUACAGACAAUGCCUAGACAUUGGUCGAAUGUUGUAAAGGAUCUUGUCAAAAUAUUUGAAGAAGCCAGCAAUGCGCAGUGUACUGAUUUAAGACCCAUUCUUCUCGAAGUUUUGACCGUUUUACCUGAAGAGUUUCGUUCAUCAGACUUCAUGAAUGUUCGUCGUGCAGAAUUACGUCACGAGCUUCAGUCAUCCGUUCCUGUUGUGGUAGAAGUUCUUGCGAGUGCUUUGAUGUCAGAAACCUCCGUCAAACUACAGGCGUUAAGGUGUUUGAUAAGCUGGGUGCAAUUUGGUGUGUCGUUGUCUGAUGUUGAUAUCCUGGAACCGAGUCUUAUGUUAUGUCUUAAAGAUGAAGAGCUGUUCGACACUGCUGUCGAUGCUUUGAUCGAAAUAAGCACAUGUCCUGAUAGUUACAGGGAACCAACAUAUGUUAGAAAAUAUAUAAAACGAGCUGUCGAAUUGGGAGACACACUCAAAACUGCAUUUCUGUCCAAUGAUGGGGACAAAGCUGUUGGGUUGUGCAGAUUUCUUGUUGCCCUCGGUGAAACGCAUUCAAAGAUAUUAUUGAGCAGCAGUAAGCCAGAGGAACAACAAAUCUCGGCGACUUUUAUCAGCCUGAUAUUAGAUUGUACAAACUGUCCUGGAUAUUACCCUACUGAUGAACUAUGUAGUGAAAUGACGUUUACAUUUUGGUGUUCGUUCCAGGAUGAAAUCGAGUACGCUGAACCAGAUGUUCUGCCUCAAAAAAAACAGGACUAUGGAUCACUUUAUAUCGGUUUGACACAAGUAUUACUAAAGAAGGCACAAUAUCCUCCCGAUUCUGAAUGGUCGGGUUAUAAUGCAGAGGAAAGAGAGCAGUUUCGCUGCUACCGACAAGACGUGGCUGACACUAUGAUGCACACUUAUCGUUUACUUCGUGAGCAAUGUCUUAACAUUCUUCAUGGACAACUAUCCGAGGCGUUAUCUAGUUCUCAAACUUCGUGGCAGGUCGUCGAAUCAAUUCUGUACUUGAUCCAAUCCGUGUCAGGUUAUGUGGAGGCCACGGAAGAUACAUAUCUACCGGCAAUUUUAGCCAUGUUUCCAAAAAUACCAUCUCAUCAUUUGGUCUCACAGACUGCUCUGUUGAUGAUUGGUUCAUAUUGUGAUUGGUUGAAAUGCCACCCUAUGUUGCUGAAGUCGGUUAUCCCUGUGCUAUUGGACAGUAUAUCUGAUGUUACACUAACAUCCGCUGCCACACAAGCAUUGCGGGAUAUUUGUCAGGAGUGUUCACGUGACCUCGACCGGGAGAGUCUUAUCGCAAUAGUCAAUAAAUGUCAGAUUGCGUUGAAUGAGUCCACGUUAAAGGAUCGAGAAAUAAUCCGUUGCAUGGAAUGCCUUGGCCAUGUUCUUGCCGUCCAACCAGUUGCGGAUAUUAUGAACUCUUUGGAAACAGUUGUUGCUCCACAUAUCAUAUUUCUCACUGAGUUGGCAGGAAUACAGCCAUCAACGUCAAUCAAACAGAAAGUUUACAUUGAAAUCCAGCUAUUCGCGAUACUGUUUAAGUGUUUAGACCCUGAAGAUCUUGGAGAUAAACAGCAUCCGGUUUAUUUGGUGUUGGAGAAAGUAUUCUCGCCGCUAGCCACACUCGGGAAAAUGUGGAUUGAUGAUAUGGAGGUCCCUCAGAUCGUGUGUCUAUGUCUUGAACGUGCAAUUGGUUCUGUUAGAGAAAAUAUGGGUGGCCUGGUAUCGAGUAUUGUGGAGUUAUUGGUUGACCUUCAUGCGAAAAAACCGCGAAGCUGUGUUCUUGAUACAGCAGUUAUAGUUCUUGGGAUGUAUUCAAAAGAAAGUCAACACCAGAAGGUUAUGCUCAUUUUUUACGAGAAAAUGACAUUAUCGACAUUAGAGUUGUUGGAGAAAGAUUUCGCUAACAAUCCCGAUGUCAUACAAUCGUUUAUGCACUUUCUCACUCGGGCAAUACGCAGUAAUCCUUAUAUAAUGUUUGGGACAAACAACUUACAUAACAGCUGUUUUCAAUGUGGUUUGACGGCGCUUACAAGACCUGAGAAUCAUACUGUAAAGGCCUGUUGUGGGUUUUUUGUCGCCUUUAUAAGAUGUUAUGAGAGUCAAGAGAAGGCCAGAGAGACCUUAGCACAUUCUGGACAACAUCUUGUAAACCAAAUACUACAGGGGGUAGGUGGGCGCGUACCUCGGUACCAUAUGGACAGUCUAGCUGAAAUUCUUAUGGCGUUGAAUGCCAAUUGUGUGGCAUUAUUAUCCACGUGGCUGCAGGACUUACUUCGCAUUGAAGAUUAUCCCUCAAAGUUAGUAACAUUAAAACAAAAGCAGCAGUUCACAAGUUCUGUAUUAAGGUUCCCUUAUCAUCAUAACUCACCCACUCAUUCGCAUCAAUGAAAAGACGAAAAUCGCGCACAAUCAAUCGCAGCACAAAUGCAAGUGUAUAAAAUGGAACGGGUACAUAAAAGAAGGUUAAAGGAAGUGGUGAAAGAAUUCUCUCUUAUGUGUCGUGGUUUGCAUGGAACAGCU
rnacentral:misc_RNA from 1 species